rnacentral:misc_RNA from 1 species
GAUGAAGAACGCAGCGAAAUGCGAUAAGUAAUGUGAAUUGCAGAAUUCAGUGAAUCAUCGAAUCUUUGAACGCACAUUGCGCCCUUUGGUAUUCCAAAGGGCAUGCCUGUUCGAGCGUCAUUUGUACCCUCAAGCUUUGCUUGGUGUUGGGCGUCUUGUCUCUAGCUUUGCUGGAGACUCGCCUUAAAGUAAUUGGCAGCCGGCCUACUGGUUUCGGAGCGCAGCACAAGUCGCACUCUCUAUCAGCAAAGGUCUAGCAUCCAUUAAGCCUUUUUUUCAACUUUUGACCUCGGAUCAGGUAGGGAUACCCGCUGAACUUAAGCAUAUCAGUAAGCGGAGGA